rnacentral:rRNA from 1 species
UACGUAGGGGGCAAGCGUUGUCCGGAAUCAUUGGGCGUAAAGAGCGUGUAGGCGGCUCGGUAAGUCCGCUGUAAAAGUCCAGGGCUCAACCCUGGAAAGCCGGUGGAAACUGUCGAGCUAGAGUCCGGAAGAGGCGAGUGGAAUUCCUGGUGUAGCGGUGAAAUGCGCAGAUAUCAGGAGGAACACCAAUGGCGAAGGCAGCUCGCUGGGACGGUACUGACGCUGAGACGCGAAGGCGUGGGGAGCAAACAGG